rnacentral:lncRNA from 1 species
GAGGCAUACUGCUACCUCGGGCAGUGUGUCACCACCGUUUUGGGUGCCGUGCUCUCCUUUGGGCAGUGUGUCGCUGCUUUGGGUGAAGAACUGCUGCCGGUGGAGGAUUCUUCCUCUAUUUUUUGCAUCGCUGUCGCGUCACGUUAAAUCACUCAUCUUCCACUCAAUUUUCUCUCUCCUCACUGAUUUUGCCACUUAGCGCAAAUCU